UCUGGCGGUCAUAGAGAGAUGGAACCACACCUUUCCAUUCCGAACAGGAACGUGAAACGUCUCAUCGCCGAUGGUAGUGCGGGGUUGCCCGCGCAAGAGUAGGACGCUGCCAGUC
rnacentral:rRNA from 1 species